AGUCGGUGUUUCACUUCCGAACCGUACGGACGUGCUAUUUCACAUACCUACAUCUUCUGCGUGCGGCAACUCGCGGUGUUGUUUUCGUCAAAUAAAACAUCGAUAAUUGCAUAGAAAACAAACUCCACAUGGACCCCUAUUGAGUCUCUCUCCUACAAACAGAUUCUUAUUGGAGAAAAUUCGAUUAUAGAUUACAUAUUUCCGUGUAUUAUAUACCUAUAUUUUCGCGUGUGCACGAAAUCUAUAAAAUAUUUUCCAUUUCAUUGAACAAUUUGAGAUGAUCUUGAGUGAAUUACAAAGUGUUGUGUUUAAAUCUUCUUUUUUUCUUUCUCUCGUCUUUUCGUACCAGACUUUAAUUAUCUUAUUGAAGUCCUGAUAACAGUUACUAGCAUAAGUCUAUAAAGUUUUCACUUCAGUAAAAGAAAAAAAAAACAUUUUUGCGCUAAAUGAUCAUGUUACAUUGAACAGUGCCGGUGAUUUUUUUCUUGGGACUUAAGAAAGAUCGUGUCAUUGUGAUUGCUUCUGUACUGUGAGUGAGGCAAAAAAAAAUCUGCAUAAGAAAAACUAUACAAGCAUAAUUUAACCGCAUUAACAUCUUCAUUCAGUUAAUGAACUGAGAAUGAACCAUCUGUUGGAAGAAAAUUGGUUGAAAAUUUAAUUAAUUGUGGAAAAUCUCAAAAUAAAAUAUAAAGUGAUCGAGUGUUUUAUAGUAUGAUCUACAACGAACUUUAGUACAAAGGAUUAAAAUUGUCUCACAAUGAUAAAUUCAACGACAAAUUCCCUAAAUUGGCGUCAAGAAGUUAAUUGUGCUUCUUGGGCGUCUGAAACGGACAAAAUGAGCCUCUGUGGGUGAUCAGCAACAACAUUCAUCUUUGGGAUUUUUUUGCACAGCAUUUCCUGAUACCAAAAUUAAUUUUGUGAAGAAAAAACUUCCCAGAUAUAUUUAUAAUUGGGACAAUGACUAAUUUAAAUCGAAUACGUGUUGUAGUACUUGGCAGCUCAAAGACAGGGAAAACAGCUGUGACAGUUCGUUACCUGACAAAGCGCUACAUCGGCGAAUACAGCUCAACAAGUGAUUUCCUCUAUCGGCACACAGUUACGUUUGACAAUGUUACGACAGAAGUAGAAAUAAUGGACACGUCGAAAUGUGCUAAAGCCGGGUGUCUUUAUGAGCAUCUGAGAUGGGGAGAUGCCUUCGUUGUUGUCUACUCAAUUUGUGAUAAGUCGAGCUUCCUGGAAGCUGAGGAGUAUCUAUCGCAAUUGGCAAAACUCAAGAUGCCCUCCUACUAUUACACCACACUCCUUCUAGGGAAUAAACGCGAUUUGGAUCACACGAGGAAAGUCUCUGUUGAUGAUGGGCACGAGCUGUCGCUGCAGUAUUCCUGUCUGUUCUACGAAGUCUCCGCUGCUGAAAGUUCAGCCGGUGUCUCUUUAGCUUUCCAAUCUGUACUCCGGGAGGCGCGAUCUGUCCAACUUCUCAAGACGCUGCCAAUAAGGAGGAAACUUGGUGUCAAUAGUGUGUCCAAAGUUCUGGGAAAUAUUUUUGGCAAAAACAGCAGUAAAGACAGAAAAAAGAGACCAUCGUUGAGUAUUUGAGGAAAAUCGCACAAUUUUACAAGAGACUUUUCUUAAAAUAUAAUUUGUGUGAUAUAAUUUAGUUUAAAUUAAGACAAAUUUUUUUUCCAUUUAGACACUGCCCUCAAAAAGUUUUCGAGUGACCAAAAAUAGGCAUAGGGCAAACUGGGGUAAAAUGGUGAACGUGAAAAAAAAAUAUCUCAAGAAAUAGUGGGGGCUAAUCUGUCUAAUUUGGUCAGUUGUUGCACUUUAUAUCCCUGCCUAAGCCUAGAAAGUUUCAUAAUAAUCAAUCCAAUAUUUUGGCUUUUGUUUAAAAAACAAAUUUUUUUAACCUCAAAGCUACUCUGACCUCUCAACUAAAAUUUAAGUUUUGGCGAAAUUCUCUGCAAUUUUUUUUGAUCGAAAUGUAUUUUUAGAUAGAGUAACUAUUGCUAAACACGAAUAUAAUCUGAAUUUUCCAAAAAAAAAAAAUUCCGAGUUUUUCCGUAGAACACUGAUAGUAAAAAGUAGCCCUUGGGGCAAAAUGGUGAAUUUGGUGUUUUUUUUUAAAUAACUUUUUAAAUUGAAAAAAAAAUAGUUUUCAUUAAUCAGUAUAACUAAAGAAAUUUAAAAAAAAAGAAAUUUCUUAAAUCUAACGUUUUUAGUUUUUUGUAUUUUUUUUUUUUAUUAAAAAAAGUCUUAAUGGGUACACAAAUCCCUUAUUCUCAAUAGAUAUUAUUAGUGCCUUGCUAAAAUAUUUUGAUUAAAUUAAGAUUAGGGAACAAAAAACCGCAAUUCACCAUUUUACCCCAGAUUUGGGGCAAAAUGGUGAAAGUGCAAGGGUUUGGAAAAUGGACUGAAAAUGCAUUUUCCCGUUGAGAUAGAAAGAAAUCGUCUGAGACAAAGUUGUAGCCCGGAAAAUUUGCUAUAAGAUAGUUGUCAUGGUAAAACUUAAAUAUUUCCACGGAACUCAGGAAAAAUUACUUCCCGAAAAUUCACCAUUUUUCCCAGGAUCCCCUAUUGCUUAAGGUAAAUUUCAAAAGGGCAUUACUCCGGGCUGUCGUUGGCUGAUUAUCAAAAAUCCACUAGUUUUAGAAAGGUGAAAUAUGUACUUUUCUAGAAUUGGCGGAUUUUUUUAAAUCGGUUCAUUAAGCUAAACCGCGUUUCUUGUUUGACAGUGACAGCGCAAUACAAUUUGACAAGGAGCAAGUGAGAAAAAACAACGAACAACGUCUUUUGACGCUGUCGUAUGGGUACAGCUUUAUAGUCGUAGAUACACCUUCUUGAAAUUUACUGGAAACUUUUUGAUGACAGUGUAUGAUUUGGAUAAAAAGUUCAUAAAUUCUAGACUCGUGUAAAUUUUGUACAAACCUCCUAAUGUUAUUGUAUUUUACUAUAAUAAUAAGAAUAAGGAAAAAAGAACUGUUGUAAUAAAAUAAAAACUUGUAGCUAAUUAAUUAAUAUUACAUAAUUACCAUGACAGAAGAGUAAAUGACAAAAUCUUGUAAAUUCAUUUAAUAAUGGUGAAGAAAAAUGAAGAAAUGCUGAAGACAAUGUUCCUAAAAGUUAUACUUAAAUCCUUCCCUGUGCAUUUAUUUGAUACAAUGUUUUUUAAGGAAAAAUAAAGAAAAAUGCAUAUUUCAAGAAAGAAAAA